UUGCAUAAUGGUGGUAUUAUAAUUCAAUUUAAAGUUAAUGUUCCCGAAAAUAAGAAGAUCUACUUAGGUGAUCUAAAUAUUAGAAAUAAAAGUAUUGUAACAUAAAUAAAGUAAAAUAACUAAGUAGUGGUGAAACGCCUAUCAUUUUUAUUGAUAACUGGAUUAAAAGAAAAUAUAUUAAGUAUAAAAGACAAUUUUAAAACGAUAAGGUUUUUAAAAAAAUGAAUAGUAUAUGUAAAAGUAAGGUAUUUUCUAGUAAAACUAUAUAAUAACUAAAUCAAAAAUAAAUAUUAAAUUAUAUAUCCAUCAUAAAUCAACCUUUUAUAUGUUUUAAAAAUAAAGCUUAACAUUAAUAAUGUAUCAAUUAGUAGAUAUUAUAAGUAUUUCUAAGGAACUCGACAAAUAUCUUGUACGACUGUUUAUCAAAAACAUAACCAUAAGCAAAUUUUUAUGGUGACGUCCGCCCAGUGAUAAUUUUAACGGCCGCAGUACUUUGACUGUGCAAAGGUAGCAUAAUAACUUGGCUUUUAAUUGGAGUCUGGAAUGAGAGAAAUAACGUGUAAAAUUUGUCUCAGACUGUAUUAUAUUGAAGUUAUUUAAGAGGUGAAAAUACCUCUAUAUAAAUAAAAGACGAGAAGACCCUUAGAAUUUUUACUAAAUAAUUAUAUUUCUAAUUAAUCGUUUUAGUUGGGGCAACUCUAUUUCAAAAAAAUAAAUAGUAUAUAGAAAUUAUUUGUACCGAUUUAAAUAAAAAAAAAUAAAUUACCUAAGGGAUAACAGCAUAAUUUUAUUAAUAAGAUUGUGACCUCGAUGUUGGACUAGGUAGUGGUAAAGCUAAACGUUUUAACAUAUAGGUUCUGUUCGAACUUCGUUACCUACAUGAUCUGAGUUCAGACCGGCGUAAGCCAGGUCAGUUUCUAUCUUUAAUAUAGUAUAAGAUAGUACGA
rnacentral:rRNA from 1 species